GAACUACUGUAACAGUUCAGUGUGUUAUAGUGUCUCUAGGAGGUGAACUACUGUAACAGUUCAGUGUGUUAUAGUGUCUCUAGGAGGUGAACAACUGUAAUAGUUCAUUGUGUUAUAGUGUCACCAUCCAGGAGGUGAACUACUGAAAAGUUCAGUGUGUUAUAGUGUCACUAGCAUGUGAACUACUGUAACAGUUAAGUGUGUAAUAGUGUCACCAUCCAGGAGGUGAACUACUGUAACAGUUAAGUGUGUAAUAGUGUCACCAUCCAGGAGGUGAACUACUACAACAGUUCAGUGUGUUAUAGUGUCUCACUCUACGUGGUGAACUACUGUAACAGUACAGUGUGUUAUAGUGUCACUAGGAGGUGAACUACUGUAACAGUUCAGUGUGUUUUAGUGAGUUUGUUAUAGUGUCACUAUCUAGGAGGUGAACUACUGUAACAGUUCAGUGUGAUAUAGUGUCACUGGGAGGUGAACUACUUUAACAGUUCAGUGUGUUUUAGUGUCACUAGGAGUAGAAAUACUGUAACAGUUCAGUGUGUUAUAGUGUCUCUAGGAGGUGAACUACUGUAACAGUUCAGUGAGUUAUAGUGUCACUAGGAGUAGAAAUACUGUAACAGUUCAGUUUGUUAUAGUGUCUCAAUGAGGUCAACAACUGUAACAGUUCAGUGUGUUUUUGUGUCACUAGGAGGUG
rnacentral:lncRNA from 1 species